AUGGGCCCUGCAGCUCCUCCGAGACUCCAGGGACGGGCCGGGGCGGGGGUGGGGGGGUGGGGGCGGGGUGGUAGGAUGGAGCCGGCCGCGCGGCUGGGGGCGCAGGGACCCGGAGACCCGGGGGCCCUGGGAGCGGCAGCCCCGCCCCUCCGGGACCUGGGGUCGCCCGGGGUCACCCGAGGUCGCCUGCAAGGGAAGGAGGCGCCCCCGCCCCCGCCGCCCGCCGCCAGCUCGCCGAGGGCCGCAGCCCGGCGCGCACCCCACCGGCGCGGGGCCGCCACACUACCUUCGACCGCCGACAGCCCGUCGGGCCUUUCCAUCUGCGGCCCCGGGCUCCGCAGGCCCCCAGCCCCGGCUGCGUGGGAGCGUGACGUCACUUCCGCCGCCUCCUCCCGGCUCCCGGCGGCAGGAACGCCCCGCGUCGCCGCCCCGGGAGGCCCUGCGGGGUCCUCCCCGCCGCCGCGCGGUCGUCGGGGCGCGAGCACCACGGAGCGCCGGUCCCUGGACGAGACCCGACCGGGCCACCGCGGCGACGCCGCCCGGCCCCGCCCCGGCCCCGGCCCCGGCCCCGCCCCUCUCGCGCCGCGUCACGCGCGCCAGCCGACGUCGUUGCGUCACUGCUGUGCGACGCGCCGGAGCGUGGGUGCCGAGUGUCGGCGGCUCCCCGGGAGGCCCGCGCGGUCCUGGCAGGUGAGCCCGGGGCGCCCGGAGCGGCGGGCGCGGGGAGGGCCGCGGGGGCAGGCUUCGCAGCCGCCGCCGAGCCUGGCUGCCGGCCGCGCGGCUCUGCGUCCCCGCGGGGCGCUCCGCUCCCGCGUGUCUGCGCUCACCGCGCCCGCGCGGGUCCCCGGGGUCGGGCCGCUCCCACGGGCUGCGGGCGGCGCGGGCGGCCUCGGGGCUGCGGGGAGGGCGGAGCCUCGGCCCCGAGCCCUGCGCGCCCCGCGUGCGCCGGCGGCCGCCCGGGCUCUCGUCUCUCCCGGGCCGCGUUCCUCCUCGCCCCCUCCACGUUGGGGCGCCCCCCCCUCCGCGCCGCUCCUCCCUUUCAUCCGCCAGCCGCUUCAUUGUAAAGAUUUUAUUUAUUUAUUCACGCAGGACACAGAGAGGGAGACGCAGGCAGAGGGAGGAGCAGGCUCCCCGCAGGGGCCCGACGCGGGACUCGAUCCCGGGACCUGGGGUCACGGUGCUCAACCGCUGAGCCAUCCAGGUGUCCCCUCCUUUUUUUUUUUUUUUUUUAAGAGAUUUUAUUUAUAA
rnacentral:lncRNA from 1 species